rnacentral:rRNA from 1 species
UACGUAGGUGGCGAGCGUUGUCCGGAUUUACUGGGCGUAAAGGAUGCGUAGGCGGAUAUUUAAGUGAGAUGUGAAAUACCCGAGCUUAACUUGGGUGCUGCAUUUCAAACUGGAUAUCUAGAGUGCGGGAGAGGAGAAUGGAAUUCCUGGUGUAGCGGUGAAAUGCGCAGAUAUCAGGAAGAACACCGAUGGCGAAGGCAGCUCUCUGGGACGGUACUGACGCUGAGACGCGAAAGCGUGGGGAGCGAACAGG